GAUCGCAAGAUUAAAACUCAAAGGAAUUGACGGGGGCCCGCACAAGCAGCGGAGCAUGUGGUUUAAUUCGAAGCAACGCGAAGAACCUUACCUGGACUUGACAUCCCCUGAAUAGUGCAGAGAUGCAUGAAGCCCUUCGGGGCAGGGAGACAGGUGGUGCAUGGUUGUCGUCAGCUCGUGUCGUGAGAUGUUAGGUUAAGUCCUGCAACGAGCGCAACCCUUAUCAUUAGUUGCUACCAUUAAGUUGAGCACUCUAGUGAGACUGCCCGGGUCAACCGGGAGGAAGGUGGGGAUGACGUCAAAUCAUCAUGCCCCUUAUGUCCAGGGCUACACACGUGCUACAAUGGUGGGUACAGAGAGAAGCAAGACCGCGAGGUGGAGCAAAACUCAAAAACCCAUCCCAGUUCGGAUUGUAGGCUGCAACUCGCCUACAUGAAGCCAGAGUUGCUAGUAAUCGCGAAUCAGAAUGUCGCGGUGAAUACGUUCCCGGGCCUUGUACACACCGUCCGUCACACCAUGAGAGCUGGCAACACCCGAAGUCCGUGAGGUA
rnacentral:rRNA from 1 species